rnacentral:rRNA from 1 species
GACGAACGCUGGCGGCGUGCUUAACACAUGCAAGUCGAACGGAAAGGCCCUGCUUUUGUGGGGUGCUCGAGUGGCGAACGGGUGAGUAACACGUGAGUAACCUGCCCUUGACUUUGGGAUAACUUCAGGAAACUGGGGCUAAUACCGGAUAGGAGCUCCUGCUGCAUGGUGGGGGUUGGAAAGUUUCGGCGGUUGGGGAUGGACUCGCGGCUUAUCAGCUUGUGGUGGGGUAGUGGCUUACCAAGGCUUUGACGGGUAGCCGGCCUGAGAGGGUGACCGGCCACAUUGGGACUGAGAUACGGCCCAGACUCCUACGGGAGGCAGCAGUGGGGAAUAUUGCACAAUGGGCGGAAGCCUGAUGCAGCAACGCCGCGUGCGGGAUGACGGCCUUCGGGUUGUAAACCGCUUUCGCCUGUGACGAAGCGUGAGUGACGGUAAUGGGUAAAGAAGCACCGGCUAACUACGUG